rnacentral:lncRNA from 1 species
GAGUACCAGAAGCUCGGCUCCUACGCCCUCAUCGGCCUCCCCGCCUCCUACCCCGCCCGAUUCGUCCAACCGGGAGAGACCAAGACCAAAUACUCCGUCCUCAUCGCCGGUGCCAAUUUCGGCUGCGGCUCCUCCCGCGAGCAAGCGCCUGUUGCGCCCGGAGCCUCCGGGGCGGCCGCAUGCGCCUGUUGCGCUCGGAGCCUCCGGUGCUGCCGCUGUGGUGGCGGAGUCAUAUGCGAGGAUCUUCUUCCGGAACUCGGUGGCGACUGGUGAGGUGUACCCGCUGGAGUCGGAGGGAAGGCUGUGUGAGGAGUGUAGCACUGGUGAUGUGGUGACGAUUGAGCUUGCGGAGAGCCGUUUGAUUAAUCACACCACCGGGAAGGAGUACAG